rnacentral:tRNA from 2 species
GUCGGGGUAGCUCAGCCGGUUAGAGCGAGCGUUUCAUAAGCGCUAGGUCGUGAGUUCGAGUCUCACCCCCGACACCA